rnacentral:rRNA from 1 species
AUACGGAGGGGGCAAGCGUUACUGGGAAUCACUGGGCGUAAAGCGCGCGCAGGCGGUCUUUUAAGUUGGAUGUGAAAGCCUACGGCUCAACCGUAGAACUGCAUCCAAAACUAUUAGACUAGAGUGUGGGAGAGGAAGAUGGAAUUAGUUGUGUAGGGGUAAAAUCCGUAGAGAUAACUAGGAAUACCAAAAGCGAAGGCAAUCUUCUGGAACACUACUGACGCUGAGGCGCGAAAGCGUGGGGAGCAAACAGGAUUAGAUACCCUAGUAGUCC